AGGGUCUGUGGUGAAAGACCGAAGCUAAACUUCGGUAAGCCAUGGAAACCGGGCGGCUAGAGUGCGGAAGAGGAUCGUGGAAUUCCAUGUGUAGCGGUGAAAUGCGUAGAUAUAUGGAGGAACACCAGUGGCGAAGGCGACGGUCUGGGCCGCAACUGACGCUCAUUCCCGAAAGCGUGGGGAGCAAAUAGGAUUAGAUACCCUAGU
rnacentral:rRNA from 1 species